AUUGAACGCUGGCGGCAUGCCUUACACAUGCAAGUCGAACGGUAACGGGCCUUCGGGUGCCGACGAGUGGCGAACGGGUGAGUAAUACAUCGGAACGUGCCCGAUCGUGGGGGAUAACGAGGCGAAAGCUUUGCUAAUACCGCAUACGAUCUACGGAUGAAAGCAGGGGACCGCAAGGCCUUGCGCGGACGGAGCGGCCGAUGGCGGAUUAGGUAGUUGGUGGGAUAAAAGCUUACCAAGCCGACGAUCUGUAGCUGGUCUGAGAGGAUGAUCAGCCACACUGGGACUGAGACACGGCCCAGACUCCUACGGGAGGCAGCAGUGGGGAAUGUUGGACAAUGGGCGCAAGCCUGAUCCAGCCAUGCCGCGUGCAGGAUGAAGGCCUUCGGGUUGUAAACUGCUUUUGUACGGAACGAAAAGCCUUCUUUUAAUACAGGAGGGUCAUGACGGUACCGUAAGAAUAAGCACCGGCUAACUACGUG
rnacentral:rRNA from 1 species